GUGGGUAACCUGCCCAUAAGUGGGGGAUAACAUCCGGAAACGGAUGCUAAUACCGCAUAUUUCCAAUUGUCUCCUGACAGAUGGAAAAAAGGUGGCUUCGGCUACCGCUUAUGGAUGGACCCGCGGCGUAUUAGCUAGUUGGUGAGGUAAUGGCUCACCAAGGCGACGAUCCGUAACUGGUCUGAGAGGAUGAUCAGUCACACCGGAACUGAGACACGGUCCGGACUCCUACGGGAGGCAGCAGUGGGGAAUAUUGGACAAUG
rnacentral:rRNA from 14 species